UACCUUAACAUACCAUCCAUUUAUGACGACCUCAACUC
rnacentral:rRNA from 1 species